UGGGGAAUAUUGCACAAUGGGGGAAACCCUGAUGCAGCGACGCCGCGUGAGUGAAGAAGUAUCUCGGUAUGUAAAGCUCUAUCAGCAGGGAAGAAAAUGACGGUACCUGACUAAGAAGCCCCGGCUAACUACGUGCCAGCAGCCGCGGUAAUACGUAGGGGGCAAGCGUUAUCCGGAAUUACUGGGUGUAAAGGGUGCGUAGGUGGUAUGGCAAGUCAGAAGUGAAAACCCGGGGCUUAACUCCGGGACUGCUUUUGAAACUGUCAGACUGGAGUGCAGGAGAGGUAAGCGGAAUUCCUAGUGUAGCGGUGAAAUGCGUAGAUAUUAGGAGGAACAUCAGUGGCGAAGGCGGCUUACUGGACUGAAACUGACACUGAGGCACGAAAGCGUGGGGAGCAAACAGG
rnacentral:rRNA from 1 species